AGGAAGACAGCUUCUCACGCUCUCACAUCUGGACUGCAGGCACGGGGAGCCUGGGAGCUGCCAUCUCUCACUUCCAAAGGCGUGGCUGGAGGCAGCUGGAAAGCCACAUCCUGUCUUAUGCCAAAAUGACUGAGGACAUGAAGUGUGGAAAGCGGAGAGAAUUUUCUCUAGCGAAUGUAAUAAACACUACGAACUGGUGCUCACACAAAGGUCCCAGGACCUGGCUGUGCUACUGGCCUUCAAGGAGCUCUCUUUGAGGGGCUAAUAAAAGAUUUAACAAAGCAUGGAAGGAAAGAGGAAUAAUAGGAAUGCAGAACUUUUGUUCCUA
rnacentral:lncRNA from 1 species